rnacentral:piRNA from 1 species
UCGGCUGGUGUAUGCUGUCUGGUGGUCC